AGUGGCGGACGGGUGAGUAACGCGUGGGUAACCUGCCUCAUACAGGGGAGUAACAGUUAGAAAUAGACUGCUAAUACCGCAUAAGACCACAGCACCGCAUGGUGCAGGGGUAAAAACUCCGGUGGUAUGAGAUGGACCCGCGUCUGAUUAGGUAGUUGGUGGGGUAACGGCCUACCAAGCCGACGAUCAGUAGCCGACCUGAGAGGGUGACCCGGCCACAUUGGGACUGAGACACGGCCCAA
rnacentral:rRNA from 1 species